rnacentral:rRNA from 1 species
UACGGGACGCAGCAGUGGGGAAUAUUGCACAAUGGGCGCAAGCCUGAUGCAGCCAUGCCGCGUGUAUGAAGAAGGCCUUCGGGUUGUAAAGUACUUUCAGUCGUGAGGAAGGUGUUAAGGUUAAUAACCUUAGCAAUUGACGUUAGCGACAGAAGAAGCACCGGCUAACUCCGUGCCAGCAGCCGCGGUAAUACGGAGGGUGCGAGCGUUAAUCGGAAUUACUGGGCGUAAAGGGCACGCAGGCGGUUAAUUAAGUUGGAUGUGAAAUCCCCGGGCUUAACCUGGGAAUGGCAUUCAAGACUGGUUAGCUAGAGUCUUGUAGAGGGGGUAGAAUUCCAUGUGUAGCGGUGAAAUGCGUAGAGAUGUGGAGGAAUACCGGUGGCGAAGGCGGCCCCUGGACAAAGACUGACGCUCAUGUGCGAAAGCGUGGGGAGCAAACGAGGAUUAGAUACC